GACGAACGCUGGCGGCGUGCUUAACACAUGCAAGUCGAGCGGAAAGGCCCUUCGGGGUACUCGAGCGGCGAACGGGUGAGUAACACGUGAGUAACCUGCCCUUCACUUUGGGAUAACCCUCGGAAACGGGGGCUAAUACCGGAUAUGACUUGGGGUCGCAUGGCCUUGGGUGGAAAGUUUUUCGGUGGGGGAUGGGCGCGCGGCCUAUCAGCUUGUUGGUGGGGUGAUGGCCUACCAAGGCGACGACGGGUAGCCGGCCUGAGAGGGCGAACGGCCACACUGGGACUGGGACACGGCCCAGACUCCUACGGGAGGCAGCAGUGGGGAAUAUUGCACAAUGGGCGGAAGCCUGAUGCAGCGGCGCCGCGUGAGGGAUGACGGCCUUCGGGUUGUAAACCUCUUUCAGCACCGACGAAGCGAGAGUGACGGUAGGUGCAGAAGAAGCGCCGGCCAACUACGUGCCAGCAGCCGCAGUAA
rnacentral:rRNA from 1 species